rnacentral:rRNA from 1 species
UUGGAGGGCAAGUCUGGUGCCAGCAGCCGCGGUAAUUCCAGCUCCAAUAGCGUAUAUUAAAGUUGUUGCAGUUAAAAAGCUCGUAGUUGAAUUUCGGGGUCAGCAGGUUGGUCGUGCCACUGGUAUGCACUGGCUUCGCUGAUUCCUCCUUCUUGAAGAACUGUAAUGUCAUUAAUUUGGUGUUGCAGGGAAACAGGACUGUUACUUUGAAAAAAUUAGAGUGUUUAAAGCAGGCUAACGCUUGAAUACAUUAGCAUGGAAUAAUGAAAUAGGACGUUUGAUCCUAUUUUGUUGGUUUCUAGGAUUGACGUAAUGAUUAACAGGGAUAGUUGGGGGCAUUAGUAUUCAAUUGUCAGAGGUGAAAUUCUUGGAUUUAUUGAAGACUAACUACUGCGAAAGCAUUUGCCAAGGAUGUUUUCAUUAAUCAAGAACGAAAGUUAGGGGAUCGAAGACGAUCAGAUACCGUCGUAGUCUUAACCAUAAACUAUGCCGACUAGGGAUCGGAUGAUGUUAAUUUUUUAAUGACUCAUUCGGCGCCUUACGGGAAAC